rnacentral:rRNA from 1 species
CUAACGCCCGCCCAUCAGCCGUAGAAAUAGGUAGGGUUCAAGCGUUAUCCAGACUGACUUGGCGUAAAGCGUGUGUAGGUGGGAGUUUAAGUGCAAUGCGAAAUCUUGUGUCUCAACCUACUAUACUGAAUGGCAUACUGGACACCUUGAGGACGUGAGAGUCAAGUGGAACUAGCAGUGUAGCAGUGAAAUGCGUAGAUAUUGCUAAGAACACCAAUGGCGAAGGCAGCUUGCUGGCACGUAUCUGACGCUGAGACACGAAAGCGUGGGGAGCGAACAGGAUUAGAUACCCGAGUAGUC